rnacentral:rRNA from 1 species
UACGAAGGGGGGCUAGCGUUGUUCGGAAUUACUGGGCGUAAAGCGCACGUAGGCGGAUAUUUAAGUCAGGGGUGAAAUCCCUGAGCUCAACUCUGGAACUGCCUUUGAUACUGGGUAUCUUGAGUAUGGAAGAGGUGAGUGGAAUUCCGAGUGUAGAGGUGAAAUUCGUAGAUAUUCGGAGGAACACCAGUGGCGAAGGCGGCUCACUGGUCCAUUACUGACGCUGAGGUGCGAAAGCGUGGGGAGCAAACAGG